UGAUGAAAAGUUUCGGGUUCUUGAUAAC
rnacentral:piRNA from 1 species